UUCAGGGUGGUUAGAUGCAUUUUUCUCUAUUACAAAACAAAAUGGAUUUGCUGAAGAUGGACAAGUGAAAUGUCUUUCUGUUAACAAUCUUCCUCUCAUACUAAUUGCUACUAACAAUCUUCCUCUCAUCACUCUAUUACAAAUGAUUCCUUCAUAUUUUUCUCUAUAUGUUGACAAUCUUCCUCUUAUACUAAUUGCUGAAGAUUUUUAUGACAGGAUUGGAGCUCUACUUGGUAAAGGAUGCCAAGUAUGGAUUAGAGCCGUAUGGAAGACCGACCUUAGUACCAAGAUCUGUACAUGUGGAAGCUACCUGUAAUUAGAAUGAAAAAGGAAACAACUUUGAAUUAAUUAUCAUAGAAAACAAAAUCACGAUGGUUUACAUUAAAGGUGUGAAUUUAUUGACAACCUUUUGUAUGUCAAAUAUCGAAUAUAUAUCCAAAUUAUGCCAUCUUUUUUUUUAUUCUGGUAAGUUACUUGCAUCUUGUGCUGCUUACCACAUAAGAAGCAAAUGGCAACAUUUUCCCUGGUGGUAGGUUGUGGCAUAGAUCGCUGCAAAUAAAAGAAAGGCUAUGUAAAUUUUAUAAUUAAUUCUGCAACAUGAGGCUAUUCUGAUCAGACACAGUUUUGACACCGACAUGUUUCAAUGGAAAAAUCAUAAAAUUAAAGCUCUCAUGCAUAGAUAUAAUAUGAAGAGGCUGAACAUACCGUAUAAAACAGCUCCAAUAAUGCAUCCUUGGCAGUAUCAAUAAGCUGGGAUGGCAGAAUUUUGUGUUGUCCCAGAAUACAACCUCCCGUACACGGACCCUAUCCCUUCUGCUCUGAAUUUGGUAACAGACUUGGAGGACUA
rnacentral:lncRNA from 1 species